GGCUUCAUAAUGAUUACAAAAAGUAUAUAUAUAAACUCCUCACUCCUCACAUCACACACUCGCAGCCUCGUUGUUGUCGUUUUCCUCUCUCGUCUUCGCUCUUAAUUCUUUCAAUCUUUUAAUCUAGCAAUAAAAAGAUCAUAUUUACUGAAACAAAAUGGCAGGUACGAAAGGAAAGGGUUUUAGGAUUUCGAUCAGAAUUGGAAUUUCUCGCGUAACUUUCUUUUAUGGGCUGCAAUUGGUUUCGGCCUCAAUUUCUGGCGCUCUGUGUCAUCAGCGUUUUGAUACUCCAUGAGAGUUUCUUGUGUUUCAUUACGGUUGUGGAAUUGGGAUCGGAAAAGUUUUGGAUUUGGGGAUUUUCGAGGGUUUCAGAGGAAUGAGGAUCGACGGGGUGAAUUACACCAAUUCUUUUGUUUGCCGUUCCUAACAGCUACAGUAACGUCAGUUUCGGUUCUUGAUUGUUUAGUCAGGCUUCGGUUCUUGAUUGUUCAAUCUUGCAAGAUUUUGUGAUUCUUAUUCUGCAUCGGAUGUUUGAGCCUUCAUAAUCCAAAAUACUUGCAACAAGAAUUCUUCCAACCCAUAUUGAAAAAAUCGGUUAAAUAGUGAAAAGCAUCAUUUGACACAUGUACCUCAUUUUUCUUCAAAUCACUCAACUGAUUUUGUAAUGCUGGAAUUUAAAAGUUCCAAGAGUUCUUGUCCCCAAGCGAAGGGAAUGCUUAUCAACACCCAGGUUCAAUUCAGCAAUGUGCUCUUCUAUACCACAUGAAACUACUAUAUGAACUCCAUAUAGAAAUGCAAAAAUAAUGUAAAAGCUUUCAAGAAAAAUACCCGUCAUCAAUCAGAACUUCAUGUUUAUAGAACAAAACAUCAGAUUCAUCAUUUGCACGAUGAAGAUUAAGUGAUCGAUAUUGCCUCCGAUAUUAUUCAUGUCAUUGCACAUAACAUUAUGAAUGGCUUCUUCAUAGAAGGUUGGGACUGCUCUUGUUCCUGGUCAUCUAAAAUAGCCUCAAUCAACAACAUCUCAAGGGAUAACAAGAUUCCUUUCAAUAAAACAAUCAUUGUACCUUUCAUAUUUUCAUGUUCUGGAAACAUCUAUUAACAUAACACUCCUUACACUCAUACACUGUCAAAAAAGGCGAUAUAUGCUAUCAUUUGGUUAAUGAAACUUACCAAAGCCUCACUACAUGAAACUGUUACGUCUAUAGGAAAGGCUUAUGGUGUUGAUGAACAAAGCAUAAUAGAGGCAAAUGAGUUGCAAGUGCCAAGAAGUAAAAACAACAGUGUGAUCCUCUUUUCGUUGACGCCUAUAUUGGUUCCUUUAAAGGUAAAGAGUUGUAAAGAGGAUCCGGAUAGUUUUUACUGUACUUGUUCUCAGGGAAGGUUUGCAGAUGGAAGCAGUGAUAUAUCUCAUGGUCAAAAGUUCCCUGCUAAAUUGGUUGCUGCAUUAGCUGUAGAAAUAGAAACAAACAUAUUCAAGGAGGACGAUAAUGGAUCAUAAUGUAUUGAUGGAGACCACCACAAGUAUCAAGUCAAUUGAUCCUUCUCACCUCAAGUCAACACCAAUCAUAGUGUAUCAUUGGAGACCACCACUCAUUUUCCCAUUACAAGACACAAACUGAAUGGGAGCAAUACGAGGUACAUUGCAAUAUUCAGAAAAAAAGAUAAUUGAAGAACAAAACAGGUAAUGUUUCUAAUGAAUUUACAAUCUAAAGAGGUACAUUGCAAUACUUAUUUUUUUUAUUUAUUAAAUUGCAAUACAUUUUAGAUGUAUUCUACAAAAUAUUAUAAAUAUUUUUUAUCAGAAAAGAUAUUAUAAAUGCUUUAACUUUC